UACGGGGGGGGCAAGCGUUGUUCGGAAUUACUGGGCGUAAAGGGCUCGUAGGCGGCCAACUAAGUCAGACGUGAAAUCCCUCGGCUUAACCGGGGAACUGCGUCUGAUACUGGAUGGCUUGAGGUUGGGAGAGGGAUGCGGAAUUCCAGGUGUAGCGGUGAAAUGCGUAGAUAUCUGGAGGAACACCGGUGGCGAAAGCGGCAUCCUGGACCGACACUGACACUGAGAAGCGAAAGCCAGGGGAGCAAACGGG
rnacentral:rRNA from 1 species